GAGGGGGUGAAAGUUGAUGCUAUAGCAGCAAAAAAAGGAAAAAAAAAAAAUAUUUUCUGAGUUUGUGGAGCUGGGACAUCUAAUGAAGCCCAGGCCCUGGAAGCAGGGCUGGAGAUGUUCUGUGGAUGCACAGGGAGCAGAGGAUCUGCUGCAAGGAGGAUGGGUCCUCACUGCCAUGGAUAACCAGGUCAUUUGCUGCCUCUUACAGCAAUCAGCAAGGAACAACGGGAAGCACCAGCAAGAGCUCCCCUCCUCCCCAGGUCCUCCAGAAUGCAAGAGAAGGGACAUGUUGAGGUCGAGGCUGGAGGAGAGGGCCAAGCGUGUCACCGAGCACGAGGCACCGCUGUGCAUUUCACCCCUGCUGAAGGAAACCAUCCCCAGCGAAGCCAGUGAGGCUGUCAGCCCCAGAAGAAGUGACAAUAAGCACCAGGAGGGCGAUGAAAAGCAACAGAAACAUCUCCACCAUUUUUUUUUUCCUUCCGAUAAAGG